ACGCUCGACACCUACGAGGCAGCAGUGGGGAAUAUUGCACAAUGGGGGAAACCCUGAUGCAGCGACGCCGCGUGGAGGAAGGAGGUCUUCGGAUUGUAAACUCCUGUUGUUGGGGAAAAAGAGGAUGGUACCCAACAAGGAAGUGACGGCUAACUACGUGCCAGCAGCCGCGGUAAUCUGAGCGGGCUGGCAAGGC
rnacentral:rRNA from 1 species